GACGAACGCUGGCGGCGUGCCUAAUACAUGCAAGUCGAACGCUUCUUUUUCCACCGGAGCUUGCUCCACCGGAAAAAAGAAGAGUGGCGAACGGGUGAGUAACACGUGGGUAACCUGCCCAUCAGAAGGGGAUAACACUUGGAAACAGGUGCUAAUACCGUAUAACAAUCAAAACCGCAUGGUUUUGAUUUGAAAGGCGCUUUCGGGUGUCGCUGAUGGAUGGACCCGCGGUGCAUUAGCUAGUUGGUGAGGUAACGGCUCACCAAGGCCACGAUGCAUAGCCGACCUGAGAGGGUGAUCGGCCACAUUGGGACUGAGACACGGCCCAAACUCCUACGGGAGGCAGCAGUAGGGAAUCUUCGGCAAUGGACGAAAGUCUGACCGAGCAACGCCGCGUGAGUGAAGAAGGUUUUCGGAUCGUAAAACUCUGUUGUUAGAGAAGAACAAGGAUGAGAGUAACUGUUCAUCCCUUGACGGUAUCUAACCAGAAAGCCACGGCUAACUACGUGCCAGCAGCCGCGGUAAUACGUAGGUGGCAAGCGUUGUCCGGAUUUAUUGGGCGUAAAGCGAGCGCAGGCGGUUUCUUAAGUCUGAUGUGAAAGCCCCCGGCUCAACCGGGGAGGGUCAUUGGAAACUGGGAGACUUGAGUGCAGAAGAGGAGAGUGGAAUUCCAUGUGUAGCGGUGAAAUGCGUAGAUAUAUGGAGGAACACCAGUGGCGAAGGCGGCUCUCUGGUCUGUAACUGACGCUGAGGCUCGAAAGCGUGGGGAGCAAACAGGAUUAGAUACCCUGGUAGUCCACGCCGUAAACGAUGAGUGCUAAGUGUUGGAGGGUUUCCGCCCUUCAGUGCUGCAGCUAACGCAUUAAGCACUCCGC
rnacentral:rRNA from 1 species